rnacentral:lncRNA from 1 species
GGGCUCGUGUGACAAUCCGUGGAAAUGUUUCUAAAGGCGAGGAAUGUGAUUUCCAUGACAACAAUGACCUUUCUGCAUUGUUUACUCCUGUGAUCCAGAACAGUGCCUGGCACUUGGUAGGUGCUCAAUAAAUAUGUGCCAUCUGUUCAGUUUCUAAAUUCCCGUGGAGGCAGUACAGCCCAACAGAUAGAGGUCCUGGCAUCAACAGAGUCUCAUCCUGGUUCAGAUGAGACAUUUCUUUUUCUCUUGCAUAAUGUGUCAACUUCAAGCUGUUUCUCUUUAUCCGGUGUAUCAUGGAGAUUAAAGAAAAAGUGAUUGAAACCAUGAAGCAGUUUUUACAUCACUUGACUCUGCAGGUAGCAGGUAUAUGGUUCCG